rnacentral:rRNA from 1 species
UACGGAGGAUCCGAGCGUUAUCCGGAUUUAUUGGGUUUAAAGGGUGCGCAGGUGGUUUAAUAAGUCAGUGGUGAAAGUCUGCCGCUUAACGGUAGGAUUGCCAUUGAUACUGUUGGACUUGAAUAUGGAUGAGGUAGGCAGAAUGUGUAGUGUAGCGGUGAAAUGCUUAGAUAUUACACAGAACACCGAUUGCGAAGGCAGCUUACUAAUCCAUGAUUGACGCUGAGGCACGAAAGCGUGGGGAUCAAACAGGAUUA